rnacentral:rRNA from 1 species
UGGGGAAUAUUGGACAAUGGGCGCAAGCCUGAUCCAGCCAUGCCGCGUGAGUGAUGAAGGCCCUAGGGUUGUAAAGCUCUUUCACCGGUGAAGAUAAUGACGGUAACCGGAGAAGAAGCCCCGGCUAACUUCGUGCCAGCAGCCGCGGUAAUACGAAUGGGGCUAGCGUUGUUCGGAUUUACUGGGCGUAAAGCGCACGUAGGCGGACUAUUAAGUCAGGGGUGAAAUCCCGGGGCUCAACCCCGGAACUGCCUUUGAUACUGGUAGUCUUGAGUUCGAGAGAGGUGAGUGGACUUCCGAGUGUAGAGGUGAAAAUCGUAGAUAUUCGGAGGAACACCAGUGGCGAAGGCGGCUCACUGGCUCGAUACUGACGCUGAGGUGCGAAAGCGUGGGGAGCAAACAGG